rnacentral:rRNA from 2 species
GGGUUGUGAGGUUAAGCGACUAAGCGUACACGGUGGAUGCCCUGGCAGUCAGAGGCGAUGAAGGACGUGCUAAUCUGCGAUAAGCGCCGGUAAGGUGAUAUGAACCGUUAUAACCGGCGAUUUCCGAAUGGGGAAACCCAGUGUGACUCGUCACACUAUCAUUAACUGAAUCCAUAGGUUAAUGAGGCGAACCGGGGGAACUGAAACAUCUAAGUACCCCGAGGAAAAGAAAUCAACCGAGAUUCCCCCAGUAGCGGCGAGCGAACGGGGAGGAGCCCAGAGCCUGAAUCAGCAUAUGUGUUAGUGGAAGCGUCUGGAAAGGCGCGCGAUACAGGGUGACAGCCCCGUACACAAAAGCGCAUGUGCUGUGAGCUCGAUGAGUAGGGCGGGACACGUGGUAUCCUGUCUGAAUAUGGGGGGACCAUCCUCCAAGGCUAAAUACUCCUGACUGACCGAUAGUGAACCAGUACCGUGAGGGAAAGGCGAAAAGAACCCCGGCGAGGGGAGUGAAAAAGAACCUGAAACCGUGUACGUACAAGCAGUGGGAGCACCCUUUGGGGUGUGACUGCGUACCUUUUGUAUAAUGGGUCAGCGACUUAUAUUCUGUAGCAAGGUUAACCGAAUAGGGGAGCCGGAGGGAAACCGAGUCUUAAUUGGGCGUUAAGUUGCAGGGUAUAGACCCGAAACCCGGUGAUCUAGCCAUGGGCAGGUUGAAGGUUGGGUAACACUAACUGGAGGACCGAACCGACUAAUGUUGAAAAAUUAGCGGAUGACCUGUGGCU